UGAGUAACCUGCCCCAGACUCUGGGAUAAGCCUUGGAAACGAGGUCUAAUACUGGAUAUGAGAUGCCCCUGCAUGGGGAGUGUCUGGAAAGAUUUAUCGGUCUGGGAUGGACUCGCGGCCUAUCAGCUUGUUGGUGGGGUAAUGGCCUACCAAGGCGACGACGGGUAGCCGGCCUGAGAGGGCGACCGGCCACACUGGGACUGAGACACGGCCCAGACUCCUACGGGAGGCAGCAGUGGGGAAUAUUGCACAAUGGGCGCAAGCCUGAUGCAGCGACGCCGCGUGAGGGAUGAAGGCCUUCGGGUUGUAAACCUCUUUCAGCAGGGAAGAAGCGCAAGUGACGGUACCUGCAGAAGAAGCGCCGGCUAACUACGUGCCAGCAGCCGCGGUAAUACGUAGGGCGCAAGCGUUGUCCGGAAUUAUUGGGCGUAAAGAGCUCGUAGGCGGUUUGUCGCGUCUGGUGUGAAAACUCAAGGCUCAACCUUGAGCUUGCAUCGGGUACGGGCAGACUAGAGUGCGGUAGGGGUGACUGGAAUUCCUGGUGUAGCGGUGGAAUGCGCAGAUAUCAGGAGGAACACCGAUGGCGAAGGCAGGUCACUGGGCCGCAACUGACGCUGAGGAGCGAAAGCAUGGGGAGCGAACAGGAUUAGAUACCCUGGUAGUCCAUGCCGUAAACGUUGGGCACUAGGUGUGGGGCUCAUUCCACGAGUUCCGUGCCGCAGCAAACGCAUUAAGUGCCCCGCCUGGGGAGUACGGCCGCAAGGCUAAAACUCAAAGGAAUUGACGGGGGCCCGCACAAGCGGCGGAGCAUGCGGAUUAAUUCGAUGCAACGCGAAGAACCUUACCAAGGCUUGACAUACACCGGAAACUUCCAGAGAUGGUUGCCCCGCAAGGUCGGUGUACAGGUGGUGCAUGGUUGUCGUCAGCUCGUGUCGUGAGAUGUUGGGUUAAGUCCCGCAACGAGCGCAACCCUCGUCUUAUGUUGCCAGCACGUCAUGGUGGGGACUCAUAAGAGACUGCCGGGGUCAACUCGGAGGAAGGUGGGGAUGACGUCAAAUCAUCAUGCCCCUUAUGUCUUGGGCUUCACGCAUGCUACAAUGGCCGGUACAAAGGGCUGCGAUACCGCGAGGUGGAGCGAAUCCCAAAAAGCCGGUCUCAGUUCGGAUUGGGGUCUGCAACUCGACCCCAUGAAGUCGGAGUCGCUAGUAAUCGCAGAUCAGCAACGCUGCGGUGAAUACGUUCCCGGGCCUUGUACACACCGCCCGUCAAGUCACGAAAGUCGGUAACACCCGAAGCCGGUGGCCCAACCCUUGUGGAGGGAGCUGUCGAAGGUGGGACUGGCG
rnacentral:rRNA from 1 species